CAUUCUGAGUCAAAGUACAGCCCGUAUGGACUUGAAAUCGGGAGAAUGCAGAAGGAGCCAGUGACCAGUCUUCGGACAAAUAUUCAGACUGACAGGAUCAGGUGGAUGACGCUUCUUGCAUGGGCGGCUAAUCACAGUACGCUGCUUUCAUAGCUGAUCCUUAUGUGUGUAGAAACUGUGCCGACAAAAAGCACAUGCGGUCUGAGAGUUUUGUGGGCAAAGGGG
ncrna:unclassified sequences RT-2 RNA